UCGUGAGCAGGGACACGGGAAUAACUUACACACAGGACAGUGAUACAUUGCAGUUCACUCUCCCCAUGGAAGAAAUUGAAGCCAGAGAAGCCUGCAACUGGCUGAGAGCUGCUGGUUUUCCCCAGUAUGCUCAGCUAUUUGAAGAUAUGCAGUUUCCCAUUGAUGUAAAAACUGUGAGGAAAGAUCAUGAAUUUUUAGAUGGAGAUGCGAUUGAAUCACUAUUCAGACGGUUGAACACAUUGAACAAGUGUGCAUCCAUGAAAGUGGAAAUAAGCCAUCAGAGGAAGCGGAGUGAUGAAUCUGAAGAUGAUGAACCUUGUGCAAUAAGUAACAAAUGGGCUUAUGAGAGGUGCAGUCAGAGAUGGUCUCGUAUCGAGAGCCUAGAAGUUGUCCCAGGAGAGGAAGGUGCUAGUGCAUCAGUCCCAGGCAGUCCAAUACUGACUAGCAUCAGCAACAAGGACACUGUCUUUCUGGAUCAUAGCGAGAAACAUGAUGUGUCCUCAAUUCACAGUACUAGCAGUGGUGACAGUGACAUUGUUAACUUCCCAAAACCUUUUGAAGAUGUGGAAACCAGCAAGAGUUCCUCAAGAUGUUCCUCAGUUAAAGUGGCUUCACUGGACUCUGUUUUUAGUUGUUCUCCUCCCCCCAGUGAAUUUUUACACAUCACCAGUGAGGGGAAGCUUUUGGAUAAGUCACCAUAUAAAAAGAGGAAGAGCCUUCUAAAGAAAAUGGAGAAGUUGCACUUACGGAGCUGCAACUUAAGGAGUGGUCAGUCAAAGGCCAAACCCAUAAUAAGUGAACCUGUUCUUCUGGAAGGACUUAAUGAAGAGAAGAUGAAGAUGCUGAACUGUGUAAAUAUUUCUGACCUCUCUGGCAUCCAAACAAAGAACAGUUCUUCCUUUUCUCCCCAGAACUGCGAUAGCAGUAACCAGUCUGAAAAUAGCAGCACAGUGAGCGCUCCAAGUCCUGUUAUAAAACCACGAAGCCACGGUGAAGGAAGGGGGAUGUAUGCAGAGCACUUAGAUUCUAGCAAGCUCUUGCUGUGGAAUGAUCUGUCUCAGCAAAACCUGAAAAAUGACAUGAAGUUACAAAUGAACCAGAUGUUUCAAAUACCACAAGGCCAUAAACCUGGCACUUUCCCCAAAGCACUUACAAACAGCUCCCUGUCUCCAGUAGACAACUCUUCCAUCAACUGGAGAACUGGGAGUUUUCAUGGGUGCAGGAGGAGCCGGAGCAGAAGCAGUUCCAAGGACUCCAAAGCCCCCAGGAGCCCCCUUUCAUGCACAGAUAACAGACUAAGUGUAUAUGACAACAUGCCCAAUAUUGAACUUGAUAAUUUGGAGGCCACACAAGUUGGUGAUGAUGAUGUUUUUUCAGAACUAAACAAUGUUAUAGAAGAUAUCAACGGUCUCAAAAAAUUGGUUGAUCAGUGGACAGAGAAGUUCUCUGAUGAUGGGGAUUUGGACUUUGCCAGUGACUUGACCUCUUUGUGUCCAUCCUCACCUAAAGAAAUCUGUCUUGAAACAGAGGGCUCAGAAGAUAAGACAGCAAACCUCCCAACCACUGAGGGAGAGAGCAGCUGUGAACUGGGCAAGGAGAUCAGUUCUGCAGACCUGGCAUACAUGACAGACUCUAAAAAGACCAACAGGCAUGGGAAGCAACACUGGUCUGUGGAAGAGAGUGUCAACUUGGAAAGCCUUUCCCUCCAGACUGAUCACCAGUCAGCCGCCCAGCUAGCCCGGACACAAAAGCUGGCUUUGUUGAAACUCACUGCUUUAAUGGACAGAUACUCCCCUUCUAGUAAGCAGGGCUGGAACUGGACUAUACCAAAGUUCAUUAAAAAAAUAAAAGCCUCUGACUACAAGGACAAAAAUGUGUUUGGGGUUCCUUUACUUCUGAAUGUUGAGCGAACAAGCCACCCACUGCCUAACGGCAUACUGCAAGCACUGGACUAUUUAAGAAGCCACUUUCUUGACCAGGUUGGCCUGUUCCGAAAAUCUGGUGUUAAAUCCAGGAUUCUGUCUUUAAGAGAAAUGAAUGAAACCAACCCAAACAAUGUAUGUUACGAAGGGCAGUCGGCAUUUGACGUGGCAGAUAUGGUGAAGCAGUAUUUUCGAGACCUUCCUGAGCCUAUAUUUACUAGCAGGCUCUGUGAAUCCUUCCUCCACAUCUACCAAUACGUGCCGAAGGAUCAGCAGUUUCAGGCUGUCCAGGCUGCUAUUCUCCUUCUCCCAAAGGAAAACCGAGAAGCUUUGAAAAUCCUCCUGUUCUUUCUGCGAGACGUGGUUGCUUUUGUUGAGGAAAACCAGAUGACCCCAACCAACAUUGCUGUCUGUCUUGCACCUUCUUUGUUUCACCUCAACACCCUGAGACGGGAUAGUUCCUCCUCCUCCACUAGAUCUAGUCAGAGGAAGUGCAGCUUGGGGAAGCCAGACCAGAGGGAGCUGAGUGAGAACCUGGCAGCAACGCAGGGCUUGGCCCACAUGAUAAUGGAGUGCAACAGACUCUUCCAGACUGACUUCCCGGCUUGACCUCGGCCUAUCCUGUCAUUAUGGCCUUGCCUGGCGAUCACUAGACUGUGGCUGACCCUGGUUGCUGUCACUGGACCUGAUCCUGACCUCCCUUGCUGACUCACCUUCCUGGCUCACCUUCGGACUGCAUCACCAUGGAAGUGUCUGAUGAUCUGGACUCUUGGCUGACAUCUCGGGCCCAGCCCAGGUGCUGUGGGACCGGGUGACUGCCCUGCCAGCCCUGCUAUCCCACUCGACUCCUGACCCCUUUCCCAUGGGAGCCGCUGGCCCUUGGUGCACCCCAACAGUCAGAUUGGACCUCUCGCGCUCCGCUCCAGCACCACGGCUGGGCAUGGCCCCAUGGCUGUCGCGUGGCUCCCCUGAACUGACACAUGGCCCUGCCCCAGGGCUCACCCCAGCACUGACCCCACAACCAGCCCCUUGCUUCUAAGCGACAUCCACCCCCCAGCCCAACCUGGGGUCCGAUCCCUUCCACAGCAUCAGCCUCCAACCUGCCCAGAGCUCCUAAGUGACUCUCUCCUCCACCUGCCCAACUGUGGGUCCCCGUUGCCUCAGCGGUGGCCUGAACCCCUCUGUCCAGCCCUGAGGCCACUUGGGGUGCCCUGAUGCCUGCCCCACACCACACAAUCAGCCCUGGCAGUAUGGAAGCUGCCCCGCCCCCCCCCAAACAGCCCCACAGGUGCUCUGAGCUGCCCUUGGACCCAUGGACAUCCUGCACGCUGCUGCUGAUGCCAGGGCUGUGAGCUGUGGGGCUGCCCCUUGCCAGGGGGUGCCGGGGCCUGGCUGGCGUGCCCCCUGCCCUGUGGGGAGGGGUUCGGUGCCGAGACGUGGGGAUCACCUGGAGGGGGCUGUCCCCCUCCUGCUGGUGACCUCCAGGAGAGGCCGCAGGCAGCUCCGCGGGGCGGCCUGGGCCGUGCUCGUGCCGGGACACGCACCCGCUGCUCUGGACCCAGACCCGGAGGCUGACGUGUGGCCCUGCCUGGCCCCCGCGCCCGCGAGCGGCCGUCGCUGGGACUGUGGCUGACGCCGUUACCGCCACCGAGCCUGACCCCGGCCCCUGCCACCGCCACUCUCGGCUGGUCACCGCUGCCAUCCCAGCCCGCCCUGCGUCUCUCAGGUACCUGACUUGCCUCGAUCAGCUCACUAAUGACUUCCAUGCGACAAGCAUCCUGAGCGCCAAGGCCUCACACUGCUGGGCUGGGCCGAGGCUGCUUGCCCCUAAGAGCUCUGUGCUCUGCAGAGGGAUGCCAGAGACGACAUCAAAAGCUGGGUGUUCCGCUCUCACCUGGCAA